rnacentral:tRNA from 1 species
GGGGGCUUAGCUUAUCCGGUAGAGCACUGGUUUUGCACGCCAGAUGGGGCGGUUCGAGUCCGCCAGUCUCCA